AUAGGAAGUACCUGGGGAUCUUGUUAAAAUGCAGAAUCUGAUCGAGUAGGUCUGAGAUGGGGACUGAGAUUCUGAAUUUCUCACCAGGUCCCAGGUGAUGCUGCU
rnacentral:pre_miRNA from 1 species